UGGGGGAUAUUGCACAAUGGGCGAAAGCCUGAUGCAGCGACGCCGCGUGGGGGAUGAAGGCCUUCGGGUUGUAAACUUCUUUUGCUCUGAACAAGGCAUGCUAAUGGGUGUGUUGAGUGUAGGGGUUGAUUAGCGCCGGCUAACUACGUGCCAGCAGCCGCGGUAAUACGUAGGGCGCGAGCGUUGUCCGGAAUUAUUGGGCGUAAAGGGCUUGUAGGUGGCUGGUUGCGUCUGUCGUGAUAGCUCAUGGCUUAACUGUGGGUUUGCGGUGGGUACGGGCUGGCUUGAGUGCAGUAGGGGAGGCUGGAAUUCCUGGUGUAGCGGUGGAAUGCGCAGAUAUCAGGAGGAAUACCGGUGGCGAAGGCGGGUCUCUGGGCUGUUACUGACACUGAGGAGCGAAAGCAUGGGGAGCGAACAGG
rnacentral:rRNA from 1 species